CAUCCCCAAUGGGGGCUACCAUCUUGAAACAGCAAAGGCCAACUCCUUUCUUUGAAUUAGCCAAUUGUGAAAGACUGUGCACCUGAGCUACAAUCAAGAGCGAAGGACAGGUCACGUGCAUCAGGGAUUAUAAAGCCAAGCAGACAGUCUGCUCGAUGUGCACGCGCUUCCAGAUCAUGUGUGUGCACCCUUCUACAUGGAAGUAAAUAUGUUUGCCUUGCUGCCUGGCUCCUGAGUGUUUUGUAUUCUACCAGAAUCCCUGACUUGGGGGGCUCACCU